rnacentral:rRNA from 2 species
CUUUGACCUCGGAUCAGGUAGGGAUACCCGCUGAACUUAAGCAUA